rnacentral:rRNA from 1 species
AGAAUCAACGCUGGCGGCGUGCCUAACACAUGCAAGUCGCACGAGAAAGGGUAGCAAUACCUGAGUACAGUGGCGCACGGGUGAGUAACACGUGAAUUAUCUACCUCCGAGUGGGGAAUAAACUGAGAGAAAUCUUAGCUAAUACCGCAUAACACUUACGAGUCAAAGCAGCAAUGCGCUUGGAGAGGAGUUCGCGGCAGAUUAGUUAGUUGGCGGGGUAAUGGCCCACCAAGACGAUGAUCUGUA